GCUGGGCAGGGUGGCUCAUGCCUGUAAUUCCAGCACCUUGGAGGCUGAGGCAGGAGGAUCAUGAGUUCAUAGCCAGCCUCAGCAAAAGUGAGGUGCUAAGCAACUCAGUGAGACCCUAUCUCUA
rnacentral:sRNA from 1 species